rnacentral:lncRNA from 1 species
AUUAGGUAAGCAACAUGAAUAAAAACAAAUGUUAUGCACAGGUGUGGCAGCCAAAAAAUACAAGCCAAAGCAUAAUAGAAUACAACAGUAAACCAAUGAAUUCCAGUGAUCAAGUAUGAAACUUUCACUGAAUAUUCGACCUAACUCGGCCAUUUGGUCCUGACCUUUUAAUUUUCAGCUUCACACCCAAAUCCAAGUGUUUAUCCAGGAACUUCUAGGCUUAUCAAAUUUCUUCUGGACCUGCCAUGUAAAUAAUCAUUUUUUUCAAAAAUUUCAGUGAUUUUAUACGAUUGGAGCUGAACUGAGUAUCUAUAUGCAUACAUAUGAUUGACUAAGUCAUGUGAUUUUAUAUGAAGGGAAAUAUAACAAACCUAGCAACAGCAGUUUCUCUCUGACCAACUCCUAUAAAAUAAGCUGAUCCACGUAGAACUAAGAUGCAGAUCUUUUAAUUCUUUUAAUAGGAAACAUACCAACUUGGAGGUCAAAGCCCCAACGAUCAGUAUGCAUAAAAACUUAAAAUUACAAAUAAAAAACGUGUUAUACAACCAUACAGUGAUCUGCAAAUUCAUGUUUUGAUGUUAACUUCACAAAUAAAAGAGGCAUCAUCAUCUAAUAGUAGUAUGUGCAGAUACUCAUCUAUUGCAAUCAUUACUAAAUCUUGGUAUUGCAUAACACAACAUACCUUGGUCCUUGGCGAAGCAAAUCAGAAGGCGA